UACGUAGGGGGCUAGCGUUGUCCGGAUUUAUUGGGCGUAAAGAGCGUGUAGGCGGCCAUGUAGGUCCGGUGUGAAAACGUCGAGGCUUAACCUCGAGAUGUCAUCGGAAACCAUUUGGCUAGAGUCCGGAAGAGGAGAGUGGAAUUCCUGGUGUAGCGGUGAAAUGCGCAGAUAUCAGGAGGAACACCGGUGGCGAAGGCGGUCUCUGGGCAUUGACCUGACGCUGGAGGAGCGAAAGUGUGGGGAGCGAACAGG
rnacentral:rRNA from 1 species